rnacentral:rRNA from 1 species
GCCAGACUCCUACGGGAGGCAGCAGUGAGGAAUAUUGGUCAAUGGGCGAGAGCCUGAACCAGCCAAGUCGCGUGAGGGAGUACUGCCCUAUGGGUUGUAAACCUCUUUUGUCGGGGAGCAAAAGCCGGACGUGUCCGGCUGUGAGAGUACCCGAAGAAAAAGCAUCGGCUAACUCCGUGCCAGCAGCCGCGGUAAUACGGAGGAUGCGAGCGUUAUCCGGAUUUAUUGGGUUUAAAGGGUGCGUAGGCGGGAUGCCAAGUCAGCGGUAAAAAUGCGGUGCUCAACGCCGUCGAGCCGUUGAAACUGGCGUUCUUGAGUGGGCGAGAAGUAUGCGGAAUGCGUGGUGUAGCGGUGAAAUGCAUAGAUAUCACGCAGAACUCCGAUUGCGAAGGCAGCAUACCGGCGCCCUACUGACGCUGAGGCACGAAAGCGUGGGUAUCGAACAGGAUUAGAUACCCUUGUA